UGGGGAAUAUUGGACAAUGGGCGCAAGCCUGAUCCAGCCAUGCUGCGUGAGUGAUGAAGGCCCUAGGGUUGUAAAGCUCUUUCACCGGUGAAGAUAAUGACGGUAACCGGAGAAGAAGCCCCGGCUAACUUCGUGCCAGCAGCCGCGGUAAUACGAAGGGGGCUAGCGUUGUUCGGAUUUACUGGGCGUAAAGCGCACGUAGGCGGACUAUUAAGUCAGGGGUGAAAUCCCGGGGCUCAACCCCGGAACUGCCUUUGAUACUGGUAGUCUUGAGUUCGAGAGAGGUGGGUGGAAUUCCGAGUGUAGAGGUGAAAUUCGUAGAUAUUCGGAGGAACACCAGUGGCGAAGGCGGCUCACUGGCUCGAUACUGACGCUGAGGUGCGAAAGCGUGGGGAGCAAACAGG
rnacentral:rRNA from 1 species